GUCGAGAAUCUUUCACAAUGGGGGCAACCCUGAUGGAGCGACGCCGCGUGGAGGAUAAGGUCUUCGGAUUGUAAACUCCUGUCAUGCGUGAACAAGGUUGCUUGGUUAAUACCUGGGCAAAUUGAUGGUAACGCAAGAGGAAGAGACGGCUAACUCUGUGCCAGCAGCCGCGGUAAUACAGAGGUCUCAAUCGUUGUUCGGAAUCACUGGGCGUAAAGGGUGCGUAGGUGGCGUGGUAAGUCAGAUGUGAAAGCCCGGGGCUCAACCUCGGAACUGCAUCCGAUACUGCCAGGCUAGAGUACUGGAGAGGUGACUAGAAUUCUCGGUGUAGCAGUGAAAUGCGUAGAUAUCGAGAGGAAUACCAAAGGCGUAGGCAGGUCACUGGACAGUUACUGACACUGAGGCACGAAGGCCAGGGGAGCGAACGGGAUUAGAAACCCGAGUAGUCC
rnacentral:rRNA from 1 species